rnacentral:rRNA from 1 species
AUUGAACGCUGGCGGCAUGCUUUACACAUGCAAGUCGAACGGUAACAGGUUAAGCUGACGAGUGGCGAACGGGUGAGUAAUGCAUCGGAACGUGCCCGAUCGUGGGGGAUAACGCAGCGAAAGCUGCGCUAAUACCGCAUACGAUCUGAGGAUGAAAGCGGGGGACCGUAAGGCCUCGCGCGAUCGGAGCGGCCGAUGUCAGAUUAGGUAGUUGGUGGGGUAAAGGCACACCAAGCCAACGAUCUGUAGCUGGUCUGAGAGGACGACCAGCCACACUGGGACUGGGACACGGCCCAGACUCCUACGGGAGGCAGCAGUGGGGAAUUUUGGAAAAUGGGCGAAAGCCUGAUCCAGCCAGGCCGCGUGCAGGAAGAAGGCCUUCGGGUUGUAAACUGCUUCUGUACGGAGCGAAAAGGUCUCCUCUAAUACAGGGGGCUCAUGACGGUACCGUAAGAAUAAGCACCGGCUAACUACGUGCCAGCAGCCGCCGUAACAC